rnacentral:miRNA from 1 species
AGCUGUGAUGACUUUGAUUG